rnacentral:pre_miRNA from 1 species
UUUUGUGAAUGAGCAAAUAAAGUGGUUUCUUGAGAUGGAAUCUACUCCUGGUGAGGAUAUGGUGAA